GUUCCUCCGCCACCUCCAGGUCCCACCGGCACACUUGCGUGACGCCAGUGUCCGCCUCUCCCUGAGUCUCUGGAGGAGAAAAGGGGAAAGCCGCCAAGGACGGAUGGGGCGUGCCCCCAGGGCCCUGAUUCAGGUUUUACUCUGAAGAGGAUAGAAUGAAAAACGAGAUCAGAAAUCAGCUUGUUAUGAAGCACAUGAGAAAAAAGCAAAAAUAAGGUUUUAACAGCUGUCUUGGAGACCCCGGUUUGAUUCCUGGGUCGGGAAGAUCCGCAGGAGGAGGGAUAGACUACCCACUCCAGGGUUCUUGGGCUUCCGCCUGCAAGGUGGACACCAAUUAGCAAUGACUCCAAGCGUGCCAGUUGCCUGUGAGACUUGGGGAGUGCUGCUGGAUGCCUAUGCCUGUAAUGAGGAUUUACAUUCCUAGAGAUCUGAGAUAACUCGGAUGUUAAUUCUCCACAGCCACAGGUCUGCCAGCAGAAGUUCAGCCAAAAGACUUGGGCUUGGAAACUGUUGCUGGUAAUUCACUCGAGCUCCUGCAGGUCACCUUCUGGAUUUUUAGGAUCCUCAUCACACUGCACUGUAAGCAUCGAUUUUCUGUUGUUGCCCUCAUCAGACAGACUGGCCCUCCUCCAUUAUCCUGCGUUCCUAGUCUAACCCAGGGCCUUGGGCACGGUCUGCAUCUCACACUUGCUUGCCAGUCGUUUCUACCUUGGUGCCACCACAGGUCUCUCUGGAUGCUUUUCUCCAGGAGAAAUGCUGCUUUCUCUUUCUCUACCCAGCUCAAAUCAA